rnacentral:rRNA from 1 species
UACGGAGGUGGCAAGCGUUGCUCGGAUUUACUGGGUGUAAAGGGCACGUAGGCGGCCCGGUAAGCCCUGCUUGAAAUGCUCUGGCUCAACCAGAGCACGCGGUGGGGGACUGCCGGACUUGAGGAUGAGAGAGGCGAGCGGAAUUCCCGGUGUAAGGGUGAAAUCUGUAGAUAUCGGGAGGAACACCAGUGGCGAAAGCGGCUCGCUGGCUCAUUUCUGACGCUAAGGUGCGAAAGCUAGGGGAGCAAACAGG